UACGAAGGGGGCUAGCGUUGUUCGGAAUCACUGGGCGUAAAGCGCACGUAGGUGGACAGUUAAGUCAGGAGUGAAAGCCCGAGGCUCAACCUCGGAAUUGCCUCUGAUACUGGCUGUCUCGAGUCCGAGAGAGGUGGGUGGAAUUCCUAGUGUAGAGGUGAAAUUCGUAGAUAUUAGGAAGAACACCGGUGGCGAAGGCGGCCCACUGGCGCGGUACUGACACUGAGGUGCGAAAGCGUGGGGAGCAAACAGG
rnacentral:rRNA from 1 species